rnacentral:rRNA from 1 species
UCGGGCGUUCCCCUCGGGGGACGAGGGUGACAGGUGGUGCAUGGUUGUCGUCAGCUCGUGUCGUGAGAUGUUGGGUUAAGUCCCGCAACGAGCGCAACCCUCGACCUUAGUUGCCAGCAUUCAGUUGGGCACUCUAAGGUGACUGCCGGCUAAAAGUCGGAGGAAGGUGGGGAUGACGUCAAAUCAUCAUGCCCCUUAUGACCUGGGCUACACACGUGCUACAAUGGGCGGUACAAAGGGUCGCGAACCCGCGAGGGGGAGCCAAUCCCAAAAAGCCGCUCUCAGUUCGGAUUGCAGGCUGCAACUCGCCUGCAUGAAGCCGGAAUCGCUAGUAAUCGCGGAUCAGCAUGCCGCGGUGAAUACGUUCCCGGGCCUU